rnacentral:rRNA from 1 species
UACAGAGGUCCCAAGCGUUGUUCGGAUUCACUGGGCGUAAAGGGUGCGUAGGUGGCGGGGUAAGUUUGAUGUGAAAUCUCCGGGCUUAACCCGGAAACUGCAUUGAAUACUAUUCUGCUCGAGGUUUGGAGGGGGGACUGGAAUUCUCGGUGUAGCAGUGAAAUGCGUAGAUAUCGAGAGGAACAUCAGUGGCGAAGGCGAGUCCCUGGACAACACCUGACACUGAGGCACGAAAGCUAGGGGAGCAAACAGG